AUGAACGCUAGCUACAGGCUUAACACAUGCAAGUCGAGGGGUAUCAGGAAGAAAGCUUGCUUUCUUUGCUGGCGACCGGCGCACGGGUGAGUAACACGUAUCCAACCUGCCCUUUACUCGGGGAUAGCCUUUCGAAAGAAAGAUUAAUACCCGAUAGCAUAAUGAUUCCGCAUGGUUUCAUUAUUAAAGGAUUCCGGUAAAGGAUGGGGAUGCGUUCCAUUAGGUUGUUGGUGAGGUAACGGCCCACCAAGCCUUCGAUGGAUAGGGGUUCUGAGAGGAAGGUCCCCCACAUUGGAACUGAGACACGGUCCAAACUCCUACGGGAGGCAGCAGUGAGGAAUAUUGGUCAAUGGGCGCUAGCCUGAACCAGCCAAGUAGCGUGAAGGAUGAAGGCUCUAUGGGUCGUAAACUUCUUUUAUAUAAGAAUAAAGUGCAGUAUGUAUACUGUUUUGUAUGUAUUAUAUGAAUAAGGAUCGGCUAACUCCGUGCCAGCAGCCGCGGUAAUACGGAGGAUCCGAGCGUUAUCCGGAUUUAUUGGGUUUAAAGGGAGCGUAGGUGGACUGGUAAGUCAGUUGUGAAAGUUUGCGGCUCAACCGUAAAAUUGCAGUUGAUACUGUCAGUCUUGAGUACAGUAGAGGUGGGCGGAAUUCGUGGUGUAGCGGUGAAAUGCUUAGAUAUCACGAAAAACUCCGAUUGCGAAGGCAGCUCACUGGACUGCAACUGACACUGAUGCUCGAAAGUGUGGGUAUCAAACAGGAUUAGAUACCCUGGUAGUCCACACAGUAAACGAUGAAUACUCGCUGUUUGCGAUAUACAGUAAGCGGCCAAGCGAAAGCAUUAAGUAUUCCACCUGGGGAGUACGCCGGCAACGGUGAAACUCAAAGGAAUUGACGGGGGCCCGCACAAGCGGAGGAACAUGUGGUUUAAUUCGAUGAUACGCGAGGAACCUUACCCGGGCUUAAAUUGCAGUGGAAUGAUGUGGAAACAUGUCAGUGAGCAAUCACCGCUGUGAAGGUGCUGCAUGGUUGUCGUCAGCUCGUGCCGUGAGGUGUCGGCUUAAGUGCCAUAACGAGCGCAACCCUUAUCUUUAGUUACUAACAGGUUAUGCUGAGGACUCUAGAGAGACUGCCGUCGUAAGAUGUGAGGAAGGUGGGGAUGACGUCAAAUCAGCACGGCCCUUACGUCCGGGGCUACACACGUGUUACAAUGGGGGGUACAGAAGGCAGCUAGCGGGUGACCGUAUGCUAAUCCCAAAAUCCUCUCUCAGUUCGGAUCGAAGUCUGCAACCCGACUUCGUGAAGCUGGAUUCGCUAGUAAUCGCGCAUCAGCCACGGCGCGGUGAAUACGUUCCCGGGCCUUGUACACACCGCCCGUCAAGCCAUGGGAGCCGGGGGUACCAGAAGUACGUAACCGCAAGGAUCGUCCUAGGGUAAAACUGGUAAAGGGGGCUA
rnacentral:rRNA from 1 species